rnacentral:rRNA from 1 species
CAGCAGUGGGGAAUAUUGCACAAUGGGCGCAAGCCUGAUGCAGCCAUGCCGCGUGUAUGAAGAAGGCCUUCGGGUUGUAAAGUACUUUCAGCAGUGAGGAAGGUGGGUAUGUUAAUAGCAUACUCAUUUGACGUUAGCUGCAGAAGAAGCACCGGCUAACUCCGUGCCAGCAGCCGCGGUAAUACGGAGGGUGCGAGCGUUAAUCGGAAUUACUGGGCGUAAAGCGCAUGCAGGUGGUUUGUUAAGUCAGAUGUGAAAGCCCGGGGCUCAACCUCGGAAUUGCAUUUGAAACUGGCAAACUAGAGUACUGUAGAGGGGGUAGAAUUUCAGGUGUAGCGGUGAAAUGCGUAGAGAUCUGAAGGAAUACCGGUGGCGAAGGCGGCCCCCUGGACAGAUACUGACACUCAGAUGCGAAAGCGUGGGGGCAAACAGGAUUAGAUACCCUGGUAG